CUUGUGGACUGUUAUAGCGAAUGGGAGUAGUUUUUAUUCUUCAAAGAAUGAAGACAAAACCAGACAGGGUGAAGCAAGAA
rnacentral:sRNA from 12 species